rnacentral:tRNA from 1 species
CGGAGAGUAGCGCAGUUGGUAGCGCACUUGGUUCGGGACCAAGGGGUCGCUGGUUCAAAUCCAGUUUCUCCGACCA